AGUAACCUGCCUUGGAGUGGGGAAUAACACAUCGAAAGAUGUGCUAAUACCGCAUAAUGCAGUUGGGCCGCAUGGCUCUGGCUGCCAAAGAUUUAUCGCUCUGAGAUGGACUCGCGUCUGAUUGGCUGGUUGGCGGGGUAACGGCCCACCAAGGCGACGAUCAGUAGCCGGACUGAGAGGUUGACCGGCCACAUUGGGACUGAGACACGGCCCAGACUCCUACGGGAGGCAGCAG
rnacentral:rRNA from 1 species